UGCCCUCUCUGAGGACGGUGUGGAGAUGACCUUCG
rnacentral:sRNA from 1 species